UACGUAGGGGGCAAGCGUUGUCCGGAAUCAUUGGGCGUAAAGCGCGUGUAGGCGGCUUUGCAAGUCGGGUGUGAAAGCCCUCAGCUUAACUGAGGAAGUGCGCCCGAAACUGCAGAGCUUGAAUACCGGAGAGGAUGGCGGAAUUCCCCAAGUAGAGGUGAAAUUCGUAGAUAUGGGGAGGAACACCGGUGGCGAAGGCGGCCAUCUGGACGGCUAUUGACGCUGAGACGCGAAAGCGUGGGGAGCAAACAGG
rnacentral:rRNA from 1 species